rnacentral:rRNA from 1 species
GCAAGUCGAGGGGCAGCCGAAUCUUUCGGGAUCGAGCGACCGGCGCACGGGUGCGUAACGCGUAUGCAACCUGCCCUGUACUGGGGGAUAGCCCGCUGGAAACAUGGAUUAAUACCCCAUAACACUACGCUUUCGCAUGUUAGUGUAGUUAAAGUUCCGACGGUACAGGAUGGGCAUGCGUAUGAUUAGCUGGAUGGUGAGGUAACGGCUCACCAUGGCAACGAUCAUUAGCGGGUCUGAGAGGAUGAUCCGCCACACUGGUACUGAGACACGGACCAGACUCCUACGGGAGGCAGCAGUAGGGAAUAUUGGUCAAUGGACGAGAGUCUGAACCAGCCAUGCCGCGUGAAGGAAGACGGCCUUCUGGGUUGUAAACUUCUUUUAUCAACGAACAAAAAGUCCCUGCGGGGAAAAUUGAGUGUAGCUGAUGAAUAAGCACCGGCUAACUCCGUGCCAGCAGCCGCGGUAAUACGGAGGGUGCAAGCGUUGUCCGGAUUUAUUGGGUUUAAAGGGUGCGUAGGCGGGAUAUUAAGUCAGUGGUGAAAGCCCACAGCUCAACUGUGGAACUGCCAUUGAUACUGAUAUUCUUGAGUACGGAUGAGGUAAGCGGAAUUUAUGGUGUAGCGGUGAAAUGCAUAGAUACCAUAAAGAACACCGAUAGCGAAGGCAGCUUACUAGACCGUAACUGACGCUGAG